rnacentral:rRNA from 1 species
CACGUAGGGUGCAAGCGUUGUCCGGAAUCAUUGGGCGUAAAGAGCUCGUAGGCGGCUUAGUAAGUCGGGUGUGAAAACCCCAGGCUCAACCUGGGGACGCCACCCGAUACUGCUAUAGCUAGAGUCCAGUAGGGGAGUGUGGAAUUCCCAGUGUAGCGGUGAAAUGCGCAGAUAUUGGGAGGAACACCAGCGGCGAAGGCGGCACUCUGGGAUGGUACUGACGCUGAGGAGCGAAAGCGUGGGUAGCGAACAGG